GACAGAGGAUGCAAGCGUUAUCCGGAAUGAUUGGGCGUAAAGCGUCUGUAGGUGGCUUUUUAAGUCCGCCGUCAAAUCCCAGAGCUCAACCCUGGACAGGCGGUGGAAACUACCAAGCUGGAGUACGGUAGGGGCAGAGGGAAUUUCCGGUGGAGCGGUGAAAUGCGCAGAUAUCGGGAAGAACACCCGUGGCGAAGGCGGCUCUCUGGGACGGUACUGACGCUGAGACGCGAAAGCGUGGGGAGCGAACAGG
rnacentral:rRNA from 1 species